AAUGUUUUGGCACUUAAGGGGGAUCCUCUUCACAUACAGGACAAGUUUGUUUAAGUCGCUGGCGGAUUCGCUUGUGCUCUCGACCUGGUGAGGCAUAUUCAAGCCAAAUAUGGCGAUUACUUUGGCAUAACUGUUGCUGGUUAUCCGGAGGCACAUCCUGACAUGAUACAAGGAGAUGGUUUGGCCACUUUAGAAGGAUAUCAGAAUGAUCUUACUUACCUGAAGAGUAAGGUAGGACAAGUACAUAUUCUUUUCAUUUCAU